GUCCACGCCGUAAACGAUGAGUGCUAGGUGCUGUGGGUAUUGACCCCCGCGGUGCCGCAGCCAACGCGUUAAGCACUCCGCCUGGGGAGUACGGCCGCAAGGCUAAAACUCAAAGGAAUUGACGGGGACCCGCACAAGCGGUGGAGCAUGUGGUUCAAUUCGACGCAACGCGCAGAACCUUACCUGGGUUAAAUCCACUCAAAACUGACAGAGAUGUCGGGGUGCCCUUCGGGGAAUGAGUGAGAAGGUGCUGCAUGGCUGUCGU
rnacentral:rRNA from 1 species